rnacentral:rRNA from 1 species
GCCAGACUCCUACGGGAGGCAGCAGUCGGGAAUAUUGCGCAAUGGAGGAAACUCUGACGCAGUGACGCCGCGUAUAGGAAGAAGGUUUUCGGAUUGUAAACUAUUGUCGUGAGGGAAGAAAUUGACAGUACCUCAGGAGGAAGCUCCGGCUAACUAUGUGCCAGCAGCCGCGGUAAUACAUAGGGAGCAAGCGUUAUCCGGAUUUACUGGGUGUAAAGGGAGCGUAGACGGUGAAGCAAGUCUGAAGUGAAAGGCGGGGGCUCAACCCCCGGACUGCUUUGGAAACUGUUUGACUGGAGUGCAGGAGAGGUAAGUGGAAUUCCUAGUGUAGCGGUGAAAUGCGUAGAUAUUAGGAGGAACACCAGUGGCGAAGGCGGCGUACUGGACUGUAACUGACGUUGAGGCUCGAAAGCGUGGGGAGCAAACAGGAUUAGAUACCCUAGUAGAA